UGCAACAGUGCUAUUUUUGUCUAUCUUGUGGACUAAGACUUAUGGACAGAUGCAAAAAAUAAAUCCUCUUUUGCAACCCCGGACUCACUGUUGAGUAAGAGUUUUGAUACCAUGAGAAGGAAUAUC
ensembl:snoRNA